rnacentral:rRNA from 1 species
ACGGAGGGGGCCAGCGUUGCUCGGAAUCACUGGGCGUAAAGGGCUCGUAGGCGGUCUGAUAAGUCCUGUGUGAAAUCCCUUGGCUUAACCAAGGAAUUGCGCCGGAUACUGUCGGACUAGAGGCCGGGAGAGGGAAGCGGAAUUCCGAGUGUAGCGGUGAAAUGCGUAGAUAUUCGGAGGAACACCGGUGGCGAAGGCGGCUUCCUGGACCGGUUCUGACGCUGAGGAGCGAAAGCUAGGGUAGCAAACGGGA